AUUGAACGCUGGCGGCAUGCUUUACACAUGCAAGUCGAACGGCAGCGCGGGCUUCGGCCUGGCGGCGAGUGGCGAACGGGUGAGUAAUACAUCGGAACGUGCCCAGUAGUGGGGGAUAGCUCGGCGAAAGCCGGAUUAAUACCGCAUACGACCUGAGGGUGAAAGCGGGGGAUCUUCGGACCUCGCGCUAUUGGAGCGGCCGAUGGCAGAUUAGCUAGUUGGUGGGGUAAAGGCCUACCAAGGCGACGAUCUGUAGCUGGUCUGAGAGGACGACCAGCACACUGGGACUGAGACACGGCCCAGACUCCUACGGGAGGCAGCAGUGGGGAAUUUUGGACAAUGGGCGAAAGCCUGAUCCAGCAAUGCCGCGUGUGUGAUGAAGGCCUUCGGGUUGUAAAGCACUUUUGGCGGGAACGAAAAGGACUGUGCCAAUACCACGGUUCGAUGACGGUACCCGCAGAAUAAGCACCGGCUAACUACGUG
rnacentral:rRNA from 1 species